GACGAACGCUGGCGGCGUGCUUAACACAUGCAAGUCGAACGGUGAAGCGCUUUCCUUUUUGGUUGGUGUGGAUGAGUGGCGAACGGGUGAGUAACACGUGAGUAACCUGCCCCCUUCUUCUGGAUAACCGCAUGAAAGUGUGGCUAAUACGGGAUAUUCUGCGCCUGCUGCAUGGUGGGCGUGGGAAAGAUUGUGCCUUUGGGUGUUUUCGGUGGGGGAUGGGCUCGCGGCCUAUCAGCUUGUUGGUGGGGUGAUGGCCUACCAAGGCGGUGACGGGUAGCCGGCCUGAGAGGGUGGACGGUCACACUGGGACUGAGACACGGCCCAGACUCCUACGGGAGGCAGCAGUGGGGAAUAUUGCACAAUGGGCGCAAGCCUGAUGCAGCGACGCCGCGUGAGGGAUGGAGGCCUUCGGGUUGUGAACCUCUUUCGCCAGUGAAGCAGGCCUGCUCCUUGUGGGUGGGUUGACGGUAGCUGGAUAAGAAGCGCCGGCUAACUACGUG
rnacentral:rRNA from 1 species